AAAGCCUUAAGUUAAAUAAACUAUUAACCUUCAAAGUUAAAAAUAUAUUAAUUCUUAUAUAGGUUUUA
rnacentral:tRNA from 1 species